CUGUCUUCCAAAGUAGCUAUACCACUUUUGCAUUCCUGCCAGCAACGUAUGAGACUUCUUGUUGCUCCACAUCCUCAUCAGCAUUUGAUGUUAUUAGAGUUCUGAAUUUUGGCCAUUCCAAUAGGUACGUUGGUUUGAUUGGAAAGAGGCUCAGUUUUCCAUAUCUGCUUUUAAAAAGAUCUCCCAGAUGAGGAAACAGAUGCAAGGAGAAGUAACUUACCAGAAGUCAACCAAGUAUAUUGUUGAGCUGAGAUUUAACCUAGAUUUUUAUUCAGUAGAACACUGAAAUCUGAAUUUCUGACAAUCAAUCCGGAUGUUUCUUAUGAGCAGGCAAGUUUAGGAAAAUCUGAUCCAAUCUAUUAGAAAAUGACAAAAACCUGAACUUAACCAGAUGACAAGUUUAAUAGGUAAAUCCUAAUCUAACAUUUACAAAUAAAAUGACAAUAUUAUUUCUAAGGUAA